rnacentral:rRNA from 1 species
AGAGUUUGAUUAUGGCUCAGGAUGAACGCUAGCUACAGGCUUAACACAUGCAAGUCGAGGGGCAGCGGGAUUGAAGCUUGCUUCAAUUGCCGGCGACCGGCGCACGGGUGAGUAACGCGUAUCCAACCUUCCGCUUACUCGGGGAUAGCCUUUCGAAAGAAAGAUUAAUACCCGAUGGUAUCUUAAGCACGCAUGAGAUUAAGAUUAAAGAUUUAUCGGUAAGCGAUGGGGAUGCGUUCCAUUAGGCAGUUGGCGGGGUAACGGCCCACCAAACCUACGAUGGAUAGGGGUUCUGAGAGGAAGGUCCCCCACAUUGGAACUGAGACACGGUCCAA